UACAGAGGUCCCAAGCGUUGUUCGGAUUCACUGGGCGUAAAGGGUGCGUAGGCGGUUGGGUAAGUCUGAUGUGAAAUCUCACAGCUUAACUGUGAAACUGCAUUGGAUACUAUCCGGCUAGAGGAAUGGAGGGGAGACUGGAAUACUUGGUGUAGCAGUGAAAUGACGUAGAUAUCAAGUGGAACACCAGUGGCGAAGGCGAGUCUCUGGACAUUUCCUGACGCUGAGGCACGAAAGCCAGGGGAGCAAACGGG
rnacentral:rRNA from 1 species